rnacentral:rRNA from 1 species
CUAUCUCAGUUCGGAUUGGAGGCUGAAACCCGCCUCCAUGAAGUUGGAUUCGCUAGUAAUCGCGCAUCAGCCAUGGCGCGGUGAAUACGUUCCCGGGCCUUGUACACACCGCCCGUCAAGCCAUGGGAGCCGGGGGUGCCUGAAGUUCGUUACCGCAAGGAUCGACCUAGGGCAAAACUGGUGACUGGGGCUAAGUCGUAACAAGGUAAC